UACGUAGGGUGCAAGCGUUAAUCGGAAUUACUGGGCGUGAAGCGUGCGCAGGCGGUUUUGUAAGUCUGUCGUGAAAGCCCCGGGCUCAACCUGGGAAUUGCGAUGGAGACUGCAAGGCUUGAAUCUGGCAGAGGGGGGUAGAAUUCCACGUGUAGCAGUGAAAUGCGUAGAGAUGUGGAGGAACACCGAUGGCGAAGGCAGCCCCCUGGGUCAAGAUUGACGCUCAUGCACGAAAGCGUGGGGAGCGAACAGG
rnacentral:rRNA from 1 species